UUUGUUGUUAAAACUACCUUGUUGCUUUGGCGGGACCGCUCGGUCUCGAGCCGCUGGGGAUUCGUCCCAGGCGAGCGCCCGCCAGAGUUAAACCAAACUCUUGUUAUUUAACCGGUCGUCUGAGUUAAAAUUUUGAAUAAAUCAAAACUUUCAACAACGGAUCUCUUGGUUCUCGCAUCGAUGAAGAACGCAGCGAAAUGCGAUAAGUAAUGUGAAUUGCAGAAUUCAGUGAAUCAUCGAAUCUUUGAACGCACAUUGCGCCCCUUGGUAUUCCGAGGGGCAUGCCUGUUCGAGCGUCAUUACACCACUCAAGCUAUGCUUGGUAUUGGGCGUCGUCCUUAGUUGGGCGCGCCUUAAAGACCUCGGCGAGGCCACUCCGGCUUUAGGCGUAGUAGAAUUUAUUCGAACGUCUGUCAAAGGAGAGGAACUCUGCCGACUGAAACCUUUAUUUUUCUAGGUUGACCUCGGAUCAGGUAGGGAUACCCGCUGAACUUAAGCAUAUCAAUAANCGGAGGAAA
rnacentral:rRNA from 1 species